UGGGUAUGUACAAAGAUGAUAACGUUUCCAAUUGAUUGCAACAAUGAUUACACUUGUGGCGAGCAUCGACAAGAAGAAGCCAUCGUACCACUUGAAAUCGACGCCUCUGAUAGCCAUAACCAGAAAACCCUAAAAGACCAAGAACUGAAUUCGCGUUUCAGUCAUGACAUGACAAUGCUCGGAAUCCGACGCCCCAAGAUGAAUCUGAAUCUUUCAUGUAUGAGUUUCGUUUUAUGCAGUUACUUGAAUAGAGAUUGAAAAGUAGAGAGAGAGAGAGAGAG
rnacentral:misc_RNA from 1 species